rnacentral:rRNA from 1 species
GUGGGGAAUUUUGGACAAUGGGCGCAAGCCUGAUCCAGCCAUUCCGCGUGCAGGAUGAAGGCCUUCGGGUUGUAAACUGCUUUUGUACGGAACGAAAAGCCUCUGGUUAAUACCCGGGGGUCAUGACGGUACCGUAAGAAUAAGCACCGGCUAACUACGUGCCAGCAGCCGCGGUAAUACGUAGGGUGCGAGCGUUAAUCGGAAUUACUGGGCGUAAAGCGUGCGAAGGCGGUGAUGUAAGACAGUUGUGAAAUCCCCGGGCUCAACCUGGGAACUGCAUCUGUGACUGCAUUGCUGGAGUGCGGCAGAGGGGGAUGGAAUUCCGCGUGUAGCAGUGAAAUGCGUAGAUAUGCGGAGGAACACCGAUGGCGAAGGCAAUCCCCUGGGCCUGCACUGACGCUCAUGCACGAAAGCGUGGGGAGCAAACAGGAUUAGAUACCCGAGUAGUCC